CUCAUAUUGUUAAAUCUUGUGGAUUCAUUCUUGUGGUAACAUACAAACUUCAAGAAACUUGAAGAAAGGAUCAAGAGGUUCAAAAGGAAUCAAGGGCAAUUAUCAAAGGUGGUUCAUAAAAUUCCACACAUAUGGAUUCAGGUUAGCUUCCGCUCAUGUAGUAGUAAUUCCGGAUUAUUCAAUAUGAAGGUUGUUGUCUUUAGUAGGAAUCAUAAUCCUAACAAU
rnacentral:lncRNA from 1 species